GAUGAACGCUGGCGGCGUGCCUAAUACAUGCAAGUCGAGCGGACAGACGAGGAGCUUGCUCCUCUGACGUUAGCGGCGGACGGGUGAGUAACACGUGGAUAACCUACCUAUAAGACUGGGAUAACUUCGGGAAACCGGAGCUAAUACCGGAUAAUAUAUUGAACCGCAUGGUUCAAUAGUGAAAGACGGUUUUGCUGUCACUUAUAGAUGGAUCCGCGCCGCAUUAGCUAGUUGGUAAGGUAACGGCUUACCAAGGCAACGAUGCGUAGCCGACCUGAGAGGGUGAUCGGCCACACUGGAACUGAGACACGGUCCAGACUCCUACGGGAGGCAGCAGUAGGGAAUCUUCCGCAAUGGGCGAAAGCCUGACGGAGCAACGCCGCGUGAGUGAUGAAGGUCUUCGGAUCGUAAAACUCUGUUAUUAGGGAAGAACAAAUGUGUAAGUAACUAUGCACGUCUUGACGGUACCUAAGCAGAAAGCCACGGCUAACUACGU
rnacentral:rRNA from 1 species